CUACGUAGGGGGCGAGCGUUGUCCGGAAUGACUGGGCGUAAAGGGCGUGUAGGCGGCGGUGUAAGUCUGGAGUGAAAGUCCCGCAUUCAAUGUGGGAAUUGCUUUGGAUACUGCAGUGCUAGAGUGCGGAAGAGGUAAGUGGAAAUCCCAGAGUAGCGGUGAAAUGCGUAGAGAUUGGGAGGACCACCAGUGGCGAAGGCGACUCUCUGGUCUGUAACUGACGCUGAGGCUCGAAAGCGUGGGGAGCAAACAGGAUUAGAUACCCUGUUAGUCCACGCCGUAAACGAUGAGUGCUAAGUGUUGGAGGGUUUCCGCCCUUCAGUGCUGCAGCUAACGCAUUAAGCACUCCGCCUGGGGAGUACGACCGCAAGGUUGAAACUCAAAUGAAUUGACGGGG
rnacentral:rRNA from 1 species